UCUCACCCAAGUUCAAGGAUAGCGUCAGUC
rnacentral:piRNA from 1 species